UCCAAAGCUGAACUCCUCACGGGUCCGUGGAUGCCCGCCGCCGCGCGAAAAGGGCAAGAACGUCGAUCCCGGCCUCGCGGUGGGGGGCGGCGGCGAGAACCUGCUGAUGGGAUGGUGGAGGCCGGCGGAGUGGAUAGCGCGGCCGCUGGGUGGUCUGCACCCUGUGGCGGCUCUGUUCGCAUUCGGACUGCUGCUCUUCCUGGGAGCGUAUGGUCCAGGCUGCCUUCCCGCUACUCGACCUCGGGUUGGAAGCGAUGCACGCCUGGAUCGCAUCUAGGUCCUGGCUUAACUUACUCUUCCCAGCGUUUCUCACGGUGAGUACGCAUGCUUGCCCUGUGUAGAUCCGUUGAGCGCUGGUCCUAAUUUCCUAGCUUUUGUCCUUGUCUUUUUCCUCCCGAUGUUAUUCUUAUUGACCAGUCGUGGAACAACCUAGGCUGUUAGUAGAACAGUACAUGCUACAUUGUAUCCGAAAAUUGAAUUGAGUCACUAUACAACACUGGCAACUCCUUUUCAUUUUUUUCUAGACUAGAUGCAGUUUCAUUAGUACUGUAUAUGGGUAUAUUAUUGCCACUUCGCUGCAUCUAUAUUUUUCUUCUGAGGGAUCGAGGCACUUUUCUAGAGAUACUUUAAUCUCAAGUUGGUUUCCUGGCUGAUAUUUAUAAUUUAAUAAGAAUUAGCAAAUCCAGCUGUUAGCCAAAUGGGCAUGAAACUGAAAGAUGUGUUGUGUUGGGUGACUUAGGAAGCUGAAAAUUUAUUAAGAAACUUUCUGACAGAUCAAGAAUCUCAUGAUAAUACAUCCUUCACUGCUCAUCUGAUAAGAUCCUACAUCUAGAUAGAUAGCUACUUGAUUUGUGCGGCUGCGGGUUACUCUAAUUGUAGCGAAGGUUUGUCCUUCACUACUUUUCUUCCAUUUCCGCAUCAUUUUUUUUCAAAUAUUGCUUGAUACUGCUAACUACGACCUGUUAGUUAUAAUUUUGUUCAUUGAUAUUUCGAAACUUUUUUGUUUACAACAUUCUUUUGACCUCACGAUUGGACAUUCCGGAGCUGGAGGUCCGCUACGUGUGCAAAUCCACAACUUGGAGUGGCGCCGCUGGUCUUCCUGGCUCCACUGCUCUCCCACCAACGGCCGCCCUCCCGGCAACUCUCCCAUCCUGGCAUGGCUCGACUUUCCCAGGUGCUAGCACUUACCUCAUAUCUCUAAUCCCGUGGAUGGCAGCAGCGGCGAUGAACGAACAGGGGGCCUGCGAACUGAUUGAUUUCUAUUAUAUGCAAACGGAUUAUACAGAAAGGUGUCGGGGAGUAGUUCCUGGAAGCGCUGGUGAUGUGCUGGAGAUGACCCUGUUGGGGAGCUCAAGGUGUUUAUCUACGAUCUCCCCGGAAAGUACAACAAGAAGCUGCUGAAGAAAGACCCUAGGUGCCUGAACCACAUGUUCGCCACGGAGAUCUUCAUGCACCGGUUCCUGCUGUCGAGCGCGGUGCGAACUUCCAUUCUAGAGGAGGCUGAUUGGUUCUACACGCCCGUGUACCCGACCUGUGAUCUAACACCAUCGGGUCUCCCGUUGCCAUUCAAGUCUCUGUGAAUGAUGCGCAGCGCCAGCGAGCUGAUCUCGAUGAAAUGGCCUUACUGGAAUAGGUCGGAGUGGCAGAUCAUUUCUUUGUCACACCACAUGACUUUGGCGAUUGCUUCCAUUAUCAGCAAAGAACAUGGGGACAAUGGGGCAGGAAGAUGCUUCUCUCAUUAUUUAUGCUUAUGAAUGGGCACCUCUGACUUAAGCUGAAUCAAUGUGGAGUAGAGUAGAAUAACACUCGAGCAGAGCACUGGACGGGGCGGAUGAUCUGAUAGAUGUUUGUAAACAUUUGGAGGGAAAAAAAUACAACUAUCAUAGUGAUGUAUCUUGUUGCUGCAUGCUGAAUCAAUAUGGAAUGGAGUAGAAACACUGGAGCAAAGCAAUGGUGGGCCUGAAAGUGUUGCUGAACUACCUGUGACAAAUAAGUGGACAAAGGAGAGAAAAUUAUAUUGGGAAGAUGCAAACCAACAUCUAUUUUCUCUUAAUUCUUUCACCUCUGAUAAUAUAUGCGUAUACAAAGGAGAGUAUUAGUUUGAUUUCCGUGCGAUGAGGGAUAAAUAUUUUUUGUUACUUCAAAGUGCAUUGAGAAGAUAGAAGUACACUCUUA